rnacentral:rRNA from 1 species
UACGGAGGGGGCUAGCGUUGUUCGGAAUUACUGGGCGUAAAGCGCGCGUAGGCGGACCUGCAAGUCGGGGGUGAAAGCCCGAGGCUCAACCUCGGAACUGCCUUCGAUACUGCGGUCGUCGAGUCCGGGAGAGGUGAGUGGAAUUCCUAGUGUAGAGGUGAAAUUCGUAGAUAUUAGGAAGAACACCAGUGGCGAAGGCGGCUCACUGGCCCGGUACUGACGCUGAGGCGCGAAAGCGUGGGGAGCAAACAGGG